GAUGAACGCUGGCGGCGUGCUUAACACAUGCAAGUCGAACGUGAGGGGGUAGCAAUAUCCUUGAAAGUGGCGCACGGGUGAGUAAUACGUAGGUAACCUGCCCUGGAGUGGGGGAUAACAGCUAGAAAUGGCUGCUAAUACCGCAUGAGGCCGAGACACUGGGAAGUGUUUUGGCGAAAAACUCUGGUGCUUCAGGAGGGGCCUGCGGCCGAUUAGCUAGUUGGCGGGGUAAGAGCCCACCAAGGCAGUGAUCGGUAGCUGGUCUGAGAGGACGAUCAGCCACACGGGAACUGAGACACGGUCCCGACUCCUACGGGGGGCAGCAGUGAGGAAUAUUGGGCAAUGGGCGGAAGCCUGACCCAGCAACGCCGCGUGGAGGAAGACGGCCUUCGGGUUGUAAACUCCUUUACGGGGUAAGAGGAAGGACGGUACCCGACGAAUAAGUACACGGCUAACUAACGUGCCAGCAGCCGCGGUAAU
rnacentral:rRNA from 1 species